rnacentral:lncRNA from 1 species
GAUAACGGUCAUAUUUUUCAUUUCAAUGAGGAAAGAAUGGGAAACAAACCGGGGCUAAAUACAUUUCUUGAAGAUUAGACAAACGAUAGUGAAAUCAAAGGCGAAUACGUCGUAAAUAAUGUAGAAAUAGUUUAUCGAAAUAAAAAAAAAUAGAAUGUGGAAUAAAAUUGGGAAAUCAGGCUUAAGCCAUGCGUACAUAUUGAUCAAAGCCGGUCCUGAGGCGAGGCAGAUGAGGCCUGCGCCUCAGGCCAAAAACCGAAGGGGGCCUCUCCGUCGGAAUCGGUCUGAGAAAUGUUCUUGGGAGUGUAGAUUGUGAAAUGGUAGCAGAAAGCAGGGAUGGAUAAAAAUCAUGAAAUCGUUAAAAUGGAAGUAGACAGCAGACAAAUUCAAUUGGUUUUGGCUGUGAAAUGGAUGAAAUGGCAACAGACGGCAGAUAGCAAUUUUGAAACCACAAACAACAACACCGACAACUGUAAAAUGGCAGGGGUGGAUGAGAUGAAAUGAAGAAGAUAAGAUUGGCUUAGGCUUUUUAGUUUUAUUUUUUAGUAACAGGCUUUUGUUUUGGGCCCCAUAUUAUUAUUAUUAUUAAUUUUAUAGAUAGAAUCCAAAUACCCAUUUUAAUUAGAUUUGGUUAAGAAAUCAGACUUUAAACCAUUCAGUACAAAUUCAAUUUUCACCCUCUCUCUACGACCUCAUUUAUCUCUCUACUGUUUCUGCGUUGCACUCUCUUAUUCUCUCUCUAUAUCUAUAUAUAUGUAUGUAAUUGCUGAAUGGAAUCAAAUCUUCAGUUUGUAGGAGCUUCAUUUUCGAAUUUUUUAUUUUGGUUUAAAUGGAAUUUUAUUUACGGGAAGUCGAGAA